UACGGAGGGUGCGAGCGUUGUCCGGAAUCAUUGGGCGUAAAGAGCUCGUAGGCGGCUAAGUAAGUCGGGUGUGAAAACUCCAGGCUCAACCUGGAGACGCCACCCGAUACUGCUUUGGCUAGAGUCCGGUAGGGGAGCAUGGAAUUCCUGGUGUAGCGGUGAAAUGCGCAGAUAUCAGGAGGAACACCAGUGGCGAAGGCGGUGCUCUGGGCCGGAACUGACGCUGAGGAGCGAAAGCGUGGGGAGCAAACAGG
rnacentral:rRNA from 1 species